UACGUAGGGUGCGAGCGUUGUCCGGAAUUAUUGGGCGUAAAGGGCUCGUAGGCGGUUUGUCGCGUCGGGAGUGAAAACCUUGGGCUUAACUCAGGGCUUGCUUUCGAUACGGGCAGACUAGAGGUAUGCAGGGGAGAACGGAAUUCCUGGUGUAGCGGUGAAAUGCGCAGAUAUCAGGAGGAACACCGGUGGCGAAGGCGGUUCUCUGGGCAUGAUCUGACACUGAGGAGCGAAAGUGUGGGGAGCGAACAGG
rnacentral:rRNA from 1 species